rnacentral:lncRNA from 1 species
GGACGGUCGGGGGGGUUUAGAGAGACGCCACACAAGGUCGGGAGCCGAAGAAGCCCUGGAAGGGUCAGUCUUUUACAAACUUUGGUCGGGGGGUAUUUUAUACCCAACACCAAUCCCCCUACUUCCGAGUUCAGGUUCUGAAUGAAGAAAGUACAAAAAAAUUUUCACGGCCGAAGUUACCCCCCUCGAUUACCGCACUCAGAGGUUACUAGAUAUUUUGGCGUUCGGCAUACUGGUACUAGAGCCU